AUCAACAUCCCCUCCCAAUCCUUGCGCACAAAGCGUGUGAGAUGGCAUGUAGUAACGCUAGGACAAAAAUGAGAGGAGCGGUGACAUUCCUUCGUUACUUCCAUAGCAUAGAACUGGAGGUGAAGGAUUCACUAAUUGUGAUUCUGUGGGCGGUGUGCUUGUGUUUGCGCAGGUUGAUCGACUAUGUGGUGGAGCUCGUGACACCUUUGGUGCUGGAGAUUGGACGUCAUCAUGGGGUGGAAGUUGAAGGACAGCCAGUAGAUGAGAUGGGAGAGGAAGGAAUAGUAGGGAGUGAUUCGAGGCAUAGGAGUGAUGUGAUAAGAAAAGAAGGAGGUGAGAGGAGGGAUUCAAGACAGUAGAGUGCGGGUGAACCAUCGAGAAGUGUCACUUUGCUGACUCUUCCUCGAGGGGAAAUGAUUCAUGGUACGUGUUGAUCCCAUCGCUUCCUGAUGUUGUGGUGAUGACCUCAAUUUGGCCUUGUCUCCCACUAUCGGCAUCAGUCUUGUGGCGGCUUCGGCGCGUGAGUAGAAGGUGGAAGAAGUUCGUGAGAAGGACAUUAGAAUGGGAGGCUCUAGAAGUAGUUAGACUAGAUGAUAGAGGCUACAAAUUGGCUGUGAAAGGUAGCUUAUCUUGUGGUUCCCUGAAUGAACGAUUGAGCUUAGUGUGUCAUUUUCUUCAAUUUUGCUUGAUCAUGGGUGACGGAGUGGAUUGCCCUUCUUGUAUUGAUUAUCUAUCUCCUGGGGUGGUGGAGCUCGAUGACGAAUAAAGAUUGUUGAGUUCACUAGAAAGGAGUCAUUUUCUGGAGCAUAUGCCUAGCUGUUCUUUGAGCUUGUUAAAGCAAAUUCUCCCCAAAGGUUUUGUUAACAUGUCUGCUGGAUUGUUAGUGCUUGGUAUGUGCAGUAGUUUGAUUUUAUUGUUAUUAACCUUUUCUCUUGUGAAGUGGUAAUGAACUUCGAUGCGCUUGGUUCUUGCAUGCAUAACUGGAUUUGAGGCAAUCUUCAUUGUGCUCAUGUUAUCACAGUAAAUGUUCAGAGCUCUUAUUUCCCUUAACCCUAGUUCACGCAGGAGCUGCCGUAGCCAAGUCGCCUCCUUUGCUCCUUCGGCAAGGGAUUUGUACUGCGCUUCCGCGGAGCUCAGUGCGACGGUCGGCUGUCUUCUGCUGCUCUAAGUAAUUGGUGUACCUCCUACAGUGAAGAUGUACGCUGAGGUGGAACGCCGUCCUUCGCUAUCCCCUGCCCAGUCCUAUUCGGUGUAUCCUUCAACGGUAUUUGGUGUUAUCUUGGAACCUGCGCUUCUGGAACAUCCUUCGAAGCUACAAUACUAAUGCAUCUUCAUCUGUGUUUGAUCUUGUUCUUGGUUCUUGUUUCCCAUAAUUUGAGACAGCCUGCGAGGUCUUCAAAGGUUGGCAUUUCGUGGAAGCCCGAGAUGUUUGUUGUUGCUUUAUUAGAGGUUGGAAUGUAGUGUGCUGUUGGGUGUAGUUGGUGAUUAGGUGUCAGUGUAUUUGUGUGGGGUAUUCUUUGGAAGAUUUGUUGGAGGGGUUGGGCUUCUCCGUCUUGUUGGAUGAGUUAUAUUACUUGAAAAAGAGAAGUUUUCUUUUGAUACUUGGAUGCUUACAAGUUUUAUUUUAUUUUUUAUCAUUGUUUGUUUCAUUUUUAUGGAGACAAAUUAGGUGAGGUUUUCUUUCAAGCAAUAGAUUACGUUUUCAUAAAUAUAUAAUCACUUCAAUAUACAUCAUUGCUUAA